rnacentral:rRNA from 1 species
UACAGAGGGUGCGAGCGUGUUCGGAAUUAUUGGGCGUAAAGGGCGCGUAGGCGGUGCGGUAAGUCACCUGUGAAAUCUCCUGGCUCAACUGGGAGCUUGCAGGCGAAACUGCCGUGCUGGAGUGUGGGAGAGGUGAGUGGAAUUCCCGGUGUAGCGGUGAAAUGCGUAGAGUAUCGGGAGGAACACCUGUGGCGAAAGCGGCUCACUGGACCACAACUGACGCUGAGGCGCGA